CUUAGCAGUCGAUUUAGAGUUGAGACGCAUCGUUUCCGCUCCAUAAAUAUUCAUCCAAAUACAAUAUCCCCACACCGCUAAUUCUAUCAAUUUUCUGCUGCUUUUUUGCUUGCCUUCAAAUGGCUGCGCCGCUCGACUAGUGAAGGCGGGCUAUGAAGUGCACGGGAUCGACUGCGAAGGCCAUGGGAAAUCCUCCGGCCAGCUCGGACUUGUCACCAGCUUUGACGAUCACUUCACCAAUAUUUCCGAGAGGAAAGAGAAUAGGAAUAAGCUGAGGAUAUCAAUGGGAGGGGCGAUGGUCCUACACUUGCAUAGAAAAAUGCAUGCCUUUUGGGAUGGUGCCAUCCUCGUUGCUCCUAUGUGUAAGGUCAAAUUUAUUCUCUUCUAUCAUAACAAAAUCCAUCAAGUCAUCAUAUACUUAGUUGCUGUUCGAUUUGUUAUCAUGAGAUAUAAUCAUAAUUGAAUUGUGAGAUUGUUUCCAAACAUUAUACAUAUUUAAUUCUGAUAUAUAAUCUUGCAAAUCGAACAACCGCAAAUUGUUGACGAGAUGAAACCAAGCCCGAUAGUUAUCACUAUUUUGAUCGCUUUGGCUCGCAUCAUCCCUACGUGGCGACUUACUCCUACUCCAGAUAAAAAGGGAUCCACAAGUUAGACGAGGUUAGGUCCAACCCUUACACAUAUAGAGGCCGACCGCGACUACAAACAGGCUACCAACUCUACGCAGCCAGCAUGGAUUUGGAACAAAGGCUUCAAGAGGUUUCGUUGUCGUUUAUUGUUCUGCACGGGGAAGAGGAUAAGGUGACGGAUCCAUCAGUGAGCAAAACACUACAUGAAACUGCACGCGCAACGGACAAGACGAUCAAGCUGUAUCCGGGAAUGUGGCACUCGUUGUCGUACGGCGAGCUGCCGGAAAAUCUUGACAUCGUCAACUGGGUUGACCAAACAUUGAGCGUCAGAUUGGAAGAGCAACUCAAAUGAUCAAAAUGCAAUCCCAUCGGAAUCUGCUAAAUAAAGAUAAUAUUUCAUGGAAGCCUCUUAUGUUUUUUUUUAUCAUACUUUAAUUUUUUAUAUAUAUUUUUUUUUUCAACCUAAGUUAUUAAAUACUACUACUAUUCUGUAAAGAUAGACCAUCAUUUCCUCCAUUCUAAUGUCGUCAAUUUAUUGAAUGUAUUAGCAACUUUGUAAAUAUUUAUUCAUUUUUCAAGAUUUUUG